GAGGAUUCUGCGCUGAGCGUGAGCGUGUCUUACUGAGGAUACAAUUGUUACUGUUCUAACUCGUAUGCAAAGGUCCAUUUUGUGUUGUUUUAAACAGAACUGCUGCAAGACUGUCCUCAAUGAGCAAACACUGAAAUAUCAACAGAUAAACAAAAGCAUUGACUACUUUACCUAGAGACAGCUGAUUUCCUCAAGCCAAGACAUGGAAAGGACAGAGAAUAAAGUGUCCACCAUCUCCCCACAAAAACAGACAGUGAAAAAUAGAUCCAAGUCCACAGAAGAGGUACAGCAAGCCAAAAAGGCCUUUCAUACUCCACAAAAAUCUCUUCCGGCUAAACCAGAAACCGAACAACUUGAGGAGACCUCAGAACUGAGUGCCUCAUCGGAGGAGUUCAAAUGAUUGCCGGAUUCAAACUUCGGGACUUUGAGAUUUAGAGAGAUCAACUGGAAUUAUGGGUAAUAACAAGAGGAUGAUUCAGUGUCUCUGUUUAUGGAAUUGUGAUUUUAGUUUAGUCUGCAUAGAAGAAAACCAACAAUAAUCAUGUGUAGCUUCUUGAAUUUGUAUGCCUGAUGAUGUUUGUGAAAUAAAUGCAGAUAUG